UUAAGCGACUAAGCGUACACGGUGGAUGCCCUGGCAGUCAGAGGCGAUGAAGGACGUGCUAAUCUGCGAUAAGCGUCGGUAAGGUGAUAUGAACCGUUAUAACCGGCGAUUUCCGAAUGGGGAAACCCAGUGUGUUUCGACACACUAUCAUUAACUGAAUCCAUAGGUUAAUGAGGCGAACCGGGGGAACUGAAACAUCUAAGUACCCCGAGGAAAAGAAAUCAACCGAGAUUCCCCCAGUAGCGGCGAGCGAACGGGGAGCAGCCCAGAGCCUGAAUCAGUGUGUGUGUUAGUGGAAGCGUCUGGAAAGGCGCGCGAUACAGGGUGACAGCCCCGUACACAAAAAUGCACAUGCUGUGAGCUCGAUGAGUAGGGCGGGACACGUGGUAUCCUGUCUGAAUAUGGGGGGACCAUCCUCCAAGGCUAAAUACUCCUGACUGACCGAUAGUGAACCAGUACCGUGAGGGAAAGGCGAAAAGAACCCCGGCGAGGGGAGUGAAAAAGAACCUGAAACCGUGUACGUACAAGCAGUGGGAGCACGCUUAGGCGUGUGACUGCGUACCUUUUGUAUAAUGGGUCAGCGACUUAUAUUCUGUAGCAAGGUUAACCGAAUAGGGGAGCCGAAGGGAAACCGAGUCUUAACUGGGCGUUAAGUUGCAGGGUAUAGACCCGAAACCCGGUGAUCUAGCCAUGGGCAGGUUGAAGGUUGGGUAACACUAACUGGAGGACCGAACCGACUAAUGUUGAAAAAUUAGCGGAUGACUUGUGGCUGGGGGUGAAAGGCCAAUCAAACCGGGAGAUAGCUGGUUCUCCCCGAAAGCUAUUUAGGUAGCGCCUCGUGAAUUCAUCUCCGGGGGUAGAGCACUGUUUCGGCAAGGGGGUCAUCCCGACUUACCAACCCGAUGCAAACUGCGAAUACCGGAGAAUGUUAUCACGGGAGACACACGGCGGGUGCUAACGUCCGUCGUGAAGAGGGAAACAACCCAGACCGCCAGCUAAGGUCCCAAAGUCAUGGUUAAGUGGGAAACGAUGUGGGAAGGCCCAGACAGCCAGGAUGUUGGCUUAGAAGCAGCCAUCAUUUAAAGAAAGCGUAAUAGCUCACUGGUCGAGUCGGCCUGCGCGGAAGAUGUAACGGGGCUAAACCAUGCACCGAAGCUGCGGCAGCGACGCUUAUGCGUUGUUGGGUAGGGGAGCGUUCUGUAAGCCUGUGAAGGUGUGCUGUGAGGCAUGCUGGAGGUAUCAGAAGUGCGAAUGCUGACAUAAGUAACGAUAAAGCGGGUGAAAAGCCCGCUCGCCGGAAGACCAAGGGUUCCUGUCCAACGUUAAUCGGGGCAGGGUGAGUCGACCCCUAAGGCGAGGCCGAAAGGCGUAGUCGAUGGGAAACAGGUUAAUAUUCCUGUACUUGGUGUUACUGCGAAGGGGGGACGGAGAAGGCUAUGUUGGCCGGGCGACGGUUGUCCCGGUUUAAGCGUGUAGGCUGGUUUUCCAGGCAAAUCCGGAAAAUCAAGGCUGAGGCGUGAUGACGAGGCACUACGGUGCUGAAGCAACAAAUGCCCUGCUUCCAGGAAAAGCCUCUAAGCAUCAGGUAACAUCAAAUCGUACCCCAAACCGACACAGGUGGUCAGGUAGAGAAUACCAAGGCGCUUGAGAGAACUCGGGUGAAGGAACUAGGCAAAAUGGUGCCGUAACUUCGGGAGAAGGCACGCUGAUAUGUAGGUGAAGCGACUUGCUCGUGGAGCUGAAAUCAGUCGAAGAUACCAGCUGGCUGCAACUGUUUAUUAAAAACACAGCACUGUGCAAACACGAAAGUGGACGUAUACGGUGUGACGCCUGCCCGGUGCCGGAAGGUUAAUUGAUGGGGUUAGCGCAAGCGAAGCUCUUGAUCGAAGCCCCGGUAAACGGCGGCCGUAACUAUAACGGUCCUAAGGUAGCGAAAUUCCUUGUCGGGUAAGUUCCGACCUG
rnacentral:rRNA from 1 species